GUGUAAGUAUAAAUAAUUUUACUUUGAAACUGCGAAUGGCUCAUUAUAUCAGUUAUAGUUUAUUAGAAAUACUUUACUACUUGGAUAACCGUAGUAAUUCUAGGGCUAAUACAUGAAUAAAUCCUCAACUUCGGAAGAGGUGUGUUUAUUAGUAUGAAAACCAUAUAUCUUCGGAUAUAAUAGUGAGUAAUAAUAACCUUUCAUAUCGUAUGUCGUAAGAUAACGAUAGUUCUUUCAAGUUUCUGCCCUAUCAGCUUUCGAUGGUAGUAUAUGGGACUACCAUGGCAGUAACGGGUAACGAAGAAUUUGGGUUCGAUUUCGGAGAGGGAGCCUGAGAGAUGGCUACCACAUCCAAGGAAGGCAGCAGGCGCGUAAAUUACCCAAUCCUGACAUAGGGAGGUAGUGACAAUAAAUCACAAUGCGGAACUUUU
rnacentral:rRNA from 1 species